rnacentral:rRNA from 1 species
AGCAGCAGCCGCGGUAAUACGUAGGUCCCGAGCGUUGUCCGGAUUUAUUGGGCGUAAAGGGAGCGCAGGCGGUCAGGAAAGUCUGGAGUAAAAGGCUAUGGCUCAACCAUAGUGUGCUCUGGAAACUGUCUGACUUGAGUGCAGAAGGGGAGAGUGGAAUUCCAUGUGUAGCGGUGAAAUGCGUAGAUAUGUGGAGGAACACCAGUGGCGAAAGCGGCUCUCUGGUCUGUCACUGACGCUGAGGCUCGAAAGCGUGGGUAGCGAACAGGAUUAGAUACCCCCGUAGUCCCUGUCUCUUAUACA